rnacentral:rRNA from 1 species
CCCGCACAAGCAGCGGAGCGUGUGGUUUAAUUCGAUGAUACACGAAGAACCUUACCCAGGCUUGACAUGUUGGUGGUAGGGAUCCGAAAGGUGACCGACCCUUCGGGGAGCCUUCACAGGUGCUGCAUGGCUGUCGUUAGCUCGUGUCGUGAGAUGUCCGGUUAAGUCCGGUAACGAGCGCAACCCUCGCUGUGUGUUAUAUGUGUCACACGGGACUGCCGGUAUCAAGCCGGAGGAAGGUGGGAUGACGUCAAGUCAGCAUGGCCUUUAUGUCUGGGGCUACACACACGCUACAAUGGCCAGUACAAUAGGUUGCAAGACCGCGAGGUGGAGCCAAUCCUUAAAGCUGGUCUCAGUUCGGAUUGCAGGCUGCAACUCGCCUGCAUGAAGUCGGAGUUGCUAGUAACCGCGCGUCAGCCAUAGUGCGGUGAAUACGUUCCCGGGCCUU